rnacentral:rRNA from 1 species
UACGUAGGGUGCAAGCGUUGUCCGGAAUUAUUGGGCGUAAAGAGCUCGUAGGCGGUCUGUCGCGUCGGCUGUGAAAUCCCGAGGCUCAACCUCGGGUCUGCAGUCGAUACGGGCAAACUAGAGUAUUGCAGGGGAGACUGGAAUUCCUGGUGUAGCGGUGAAAUGCGUAGAUAUCUGGAGGAACACCGGUGGCGAAGGCGGCAUCCUGGGCCGGUAUUGACGCUGAGGAGCGAAAGCCAGGGGAGCAAACGGG